GUGGAAAAGAUUCAGGCAUCACACUUUAGAAGCCCUGAAACUCUAAAUUGUGCAGUCAUCUAAUUUUACAAGCUCAGGCAGUGUGGUAGGUGUCUUAAAAUUAUGGAAUAUACUGCGCUAAUGCCAAAGUCAAUGAUUUUCAGAAAAUUCGACCCAAACUGAUAAAAAAAAGGUAUCAUUAUGUUGUCUAAGUUAACAACAACAACAACUACCCAGUAUGUUGUCUAAGUUAAAUGCGUAAAAAAAAAUUAAUAUUUGAUGGAACUUUCACCACUUAGAGGAAUUAAACAGCGGAUGUUAGUGAAGAAAUAAUGAGGAAAGAAAAGAUUUAUACAGGUAAUGCAAGAAAAAUAAGUACAAAAGGAAACUACAAUUAUAUGGAAAAUGAACUAAAAAAACAACAACUACUACUACACCUCAAUCUCAAACAAGUUAGAGUCGGCUAUAUGAAUCCUCAUUAACCAUGUUCCCAAGUUAAAUCUAUCUCAAGCCAAUAUUACAGAAAAUAAAAAUAAAACUGAAACUAUAAUUUCUCUUUAUUGCAUACUGAUAUAAGAUUCUCUAAUAGGGCAAAAAGAUUCCUAGAAUGCAUAUGAGCUAAAGUAGACGUAUUAUCAUGAUUAAAAUAUAUUUCUAACUCUAGAUACCACCUAUAGAGCUCUUCGUCCUGCAAUGUGCCCUAUCUUUCACCAAGUCUGGAUUGAUUCCAAGAGAAUAUAGGUUUUUUUACGACCACUUCUUUUCAUGUGAUUUAGGCCUAUCUCGUCCCCUUUUAACACCUUCACUAACCAUGAUUUCGCAUCUAAGGAGCACAUUUAGAUGUUCACACUAGACAUGACCAAGCUAUCUCAAGCGACCUACUCUCAUUUUAUACUUAAUAUGUACUAUUUUGCACCUUCUAGCGAAUGUUGUGAUUCUUAACUUUGACUAAUGUAUACAAGCGCAUGUCCACCUUAACAUCCGUAUCUCUGUGAUACUCAUCUUGUGGAUGUAUUGGACUUUAGCAUCCCAACAUUCACCAGAUAUAACAUUGCUGGUGUUAUAACUAUUCUAUAAAGCUUACCUUUCAUUUUGGUAGGCAUUUUCCUAUCACGACACCCCAAUAGGACCUCUCCAUUUCAACCAUCCAAUUUUGCUUCUAUGUUUAAUAGCUUCAUCUAUCAUUUCAAUUUUUUGAAUUAUGCGCCUAGAUAUCUGAAUUAUUACACAUUUAGGCAUCAUAAUCCCAUCUAAUCUCACAUGAACUUCAUUCUUUUUAUGCUGACUGAUUUGCGGUGCAUAUAAUUCAAUCUUACUUCUUUAUUCACAAAACCCUUACUCUCUAAAGUGUUUCUCUAUAAAUCAAGCUUUUGGUUAGAUCACCCAUAACUAGUAUAAAAGAGUAUGGCCUCACUCUAAUCUUGGGCUGAUAUCUUCUUUCAUUUCGUAACCUAUGCAUCUUUUUUAUGCUUUUUUGUUAAUAGUAUUCCACUUUCUUCAAAAAAACUGUAUGGACUUAAUGUCGAUCCGUAGUGUAAAACCACAACUAUGGGUAACUUUUUAUCUCAUACUACUGAUGGAUUUUAUCUAUUUAACAUGAAUUCCUUUCUUCUCCAACACCCACCAAAAGACCCUUCCUGAUACUGCAUUCGCUUUCUCCAGCUCAAUAAACACCAUGUGUAGAUCUUUCUUCCUUUACAAUAAAAUUCUAUCAAUCUUCUUAGCAAGCAGAUUCUCAAUCAAUCUUGUAAGUUUCCUAUGUUUACACUCUAUCACUCUUUCCCAAAGUUUUAUCGUAUGACUCAUAAGUUCAAUCAUCAAUGCCGCAAUAGUGUGUACAAUUUUGAAUAUUUCCUUUGUUCUCCCCCUCUACAAUUCCAAGUGAAUGACAAGUUCUUGACGUAGUUAAUUCUUUUGUUUUAUGUUUCUACAGAUAUCUAACCUAAAUGGGUCUUUUUCCACCAACUUCUGUCCAGACAAUAAGCAUACUCAUUACUCCCUCUAUGCCAGCACUAAAUCAUCACCUAAACAAGGUGAAUCUGGGGUCUACUUUCAGGGUUUAAGUAUGCCUCAUUCGAGCCUUUCAUAACACUGAUCAUUACUGAAUUACUCAGUAAAACUAUCCGACUUCUCCAAUUUAACACAGUAAAACUAUCUGAAUCCUCACAAAUAAGUUAUAUCCACUAACAGUGCAUAGGUAUCAACAACAACAACAACAAUCCAGUAUGAUCCCACAAGUGAGGUCUGGGGAGGGUAAUAUGUACGUAGAUCUUACCCCUACCCGAGGGGCAGAGAGGCGUAAUUUAAUUAACCUGACAGUGUAAAUACUUUUUUCACCGGUAGUGCAUAGAACUUAAAAUCUUAAACAUAAGACAAAAAUAUAGAUCG
rnacentral:lncRNA from 1 species